rnacentral:lncRNA from 1 species
AUGGAGGCGCUGGGAUCGCCCGACAAGAGCGUGGACAAACCCAACGAGGCUCGGACCAGGCUGAAGAUCUCGUGGCCUCCUCAGAGAAACGAGGCGGAGGAGGAGAACAGCGCGACCGCCGCCAAUCCUGAAGAUGCAGCCGCUAAAUCCGCCGGGCAAAAUGGCCGCCGGAGGAGAGGGAGGAGUCUGCGAGCGACGGCGCACCAGAGGCCAUGGAGGAGGAGAAGGCCGGCUCAAGUCCCGUGGAGGAGGCGAGGCCCAGCCCGGACCCCAGCGCCCCGUCGUCCCCGUCCCGCAGCCCGACGGAGGACAGCUGCAUGGACGUCCACAGCGCGGCACCAGCUCCGGAGACGACGAGCCGGGGAGGGACCUGAGCGAGCCCGCCCAGGAGGAGAGCGCCGAGCCCGGGCAGGAGCUCAUGGACGAGGGGGGUCUGCCGGACGUACGACCCACUGUCCUGUCCUCGCCCGACGGAGAGGUGGAGGCCAGCCGCUCGUCUCAGGACAUUGGAUUCUGGGACAGUGAAGAGUGCGAGGAGCGAGACGAUGUCACCGUGGAAGAUCUGAUCAAGCAGAACAGAGUCUACGACGAGGAGGAGGAGGACGAAGAGGAGGAGUGUGCGUGAGCGUGGCUUUACAACGUGAAACCACGAACAUCUGCAGGAGUCCGUGAUGUUAAUUCACCAUUGCAGCUUUGACCAGAUUAGAUUGAGAUUUUCCUCACCAUUUCUCUACCAAAUCGCACUUGGACAAUGUGGAUUUUAAGCCUUUUUUUGCAUCAAAUCCUAAAAAAGAUCUGCCAGGUUUGUCCAAAAAUUGCUCUUAAAUUCAGAAGCAAAAAACCUGACUCCACUUUGGGAUCAUUUUGCUUGAAAUUACAAACUCACAACCAGGCAGGAGUUUGACCAGCUAAAUCUAACAAAGUUGAUGUAGAAUUAAAUCUGGACUCCUGUACGCUGCAGUAUUUUGGUGCCUCUCGGCUCAUUCAAAGCCAUUCCUUCCGAUCUCACUUUAGUCAGAAAAAGCUUUGUUCAAAAAUGUCUUCCAAAGCAUUUCACAACACAUUUCAGUUCUCUAGGGAAAGUCUCGCGCUUUUGGCCCACAUUUUUUAUCUGCUAUAUUUUUGUGGACAAAGCGUUUCGUCUCGUCUUUGACCAUGUCUUAAACAUUCCAGAUUAUCGUGUAAAACCGUGUUUUAUUGUAACGGUCACAACUGGACGUUUUACCAGUGAAUGUUUUUAUUGUGGGAUUAAAUAUGAAAUAAAUUGAAUAUAAAAAUGCAAC